rnacentral:rRNA from 1 species
AGUGAACGCUGGCGGUAGGCCUAACACAUGCAAGUCGAACGGCAGCACAGUAAGAGCUUGCUCUUACGGGUGGCGAGUGGCGGACGGGUGAGGAAUACAUCGGAAUCUACUUUUUCGUGGGGGAUAACGUAGGGAAACUUACGCUAAUACCGCAUACGACCUACGGGUGAAAGCAGGGGAUCUUCGGACCUUGCGCGAUUGAAUGAGCCGAUGUCGUAUUAGCUAGUUGGCGGGGUAAAGGCCCACCAAGGCGACGAUCCGUAGCUGGUCUGAGAGGAUGAUCAGCCACACUGGAACUGAGACACGGUCCAGACUCCUACGGGAGGCAGCAGUGGGGAAUAUUGGACAGUGGGCGCAAGCCUGAUCCAGCCAUACCGCGUGGGUGAAGAAGGCCUUCGGGUUGUAAAGCCCUUUUGUUGGGAAAGAAAAGCAGCAGGUUAAUACCCCGCUGUUCUGACGGUACCCAAAGAAUAAGCACCGGCUAACUUCGU